ACUAAAACAAAACAAAAAUAGAUGGUUAAAUUUCUAAGUAAAUAUUCUGUUUUAAAGAUAUUUAUCUUUUUUCACAUAAAUGAAAAGAUACUGUUUCAGCAUCUUUAGCAUAAAAAGCCUAACAGUAUGUAUUAAAGUUUUCAGCAGUGUUAACAGAAAAGUUUAACUGCUAGGAUAUUUAAAACAAAGCAAUUAGAAAUAAAUUUCUGGGACAAUCUUGCAUGUAACUAGAGCCAGGAACCAGGUUCAAGUAAAUUAUAAAGCCAGCCCAUAUUAUGUGUCCCACAGCUGUGGAACUAACCAGUGAAAAUGAUGGGCCCUUUUAAAUUGGGGGUCAUGACACAUUAGUGGGUCAUGAUUAACUUUUAAAAAAUUAAAAGUACAUUUGCAUUUAGUAAGGGAAAUAGUGUUCCAUUUUUGUUUGGGUUAUAUUUACAUAUGCAAAUGUGUACCAAGUCACACAGUGUGGUAUUGUGGGGAUAGUCAAGAGUUUGAAAGCCACUGCUUAGAGAACUAGUUGUAAAGGGCAGCAAGAAACUGCCACAUCAUCAGCAGGAAGUUAGAACACGGUACUUGGAAGUGCAUUGGGGGUCGGGGGGAGAGAGGCGCUUUCUCUUCCUGUAGGUUUUGCCCUGCAACAGAAAGGUGCCCGUCUUUCACUUUCUUUGCCUAGAAUGAUGGUAAUUAUCAGCAGUGUUUUCUAGCAAUAUUGCAUGUAGACAGAAUAUUUCUUAUGCAUGAAUUAGAAAAUUCAGUCAAAUUAAACAUUUAAAUAUUCUUUGUCUUAAGCUUUUUGUUUCCCUUUAUGGGUUUUUAAAAUAUGAACACCUAGAGGAAUCAGAGACAGAGAUUAGCAAUUAACUGGAACUUUUAAGUUCUGUAAUAGUGACAGAUGCUUUGUUUAACAUGUAUUGAAUGAAGUGACUCUGAAAAUUUUUAUCUGACAAAAUAUGCUAAAAGAAAAUCUAUUAACAUUUAAAGUGACACUAAAGACCCGGUUUUCUCAGCAAAUUACAGAGUUUUCUUCUAUAGACUGCUUGGAACUGGAAAUUAAUACAUAAUACUGAGAAAUCAGUAUGAUUCCUGCCACCAGUCUCCCUUCCAAUCUUUUCUCCACAUGGAUUGAUUGAUACUAGUUCAAUAGCUUUCCUACUUAAAAUCCUUUGGGUCCUGAUAAAAUCUAAACCACAGAUGGUGGCACAUGGGCUGCACUCUCUGGCCUGUCCUCCCUAUCACUGAGCAUCCUACUUUCUGCCACACUGCGGUCACUGUUCCCAGCUCUUCCCCAGCCUGCCUUCACUCAAGCUGUGUGUUUAUCUCCGUCUGGCCUAACUCCCAGUUCAGCUCAGUAAACAGUUGAAAUGUCACUUGAGUUACUUGAGUGCUCUAUUUCCCCUCAGGGCAGGCAGCUGCUCUGUCCUGUGUGUUCCUACCCCAUAACAGCACUGCUGUCUUGGAUUAUACUUACUAUCUGCUUGUUUGCUCCAGGAGGAUCUUUGUCAGGCUUGUUUAAUGCCUUACCCAAAGUGCCUGGCACAGUGCACCUACUUAUCUGAUGGGGUGAGGGUGGGAACGGUCUUGAUUCUUUCCUGUGGCCUCAGUAACCUGUAUCUCCCAUGAUACUUGACAAGAGCUCCAGAAUGUAUUUCAUGGAAUUUACAGUCUAAAGUGGGGGGAGGGGGAAUCUCUAUUCAAAAAAUUAAAACUGUUAAUAGAUGCUAAUUAGUAUUCAGCAUUAGACUAGAGGCAUGUUUAUUUCUGAAAUGUAGUUUAAAAUUUUUCAGUUUGCAAAUGUUGACUUUCCCAAGGAAGUAAAAUUCUGUAAAGUUCUGCACUUUUUUCCAGUUGGAAAAAGGAAAUCCUUUCUAAUAUUUGUCCUUUUGUUCAGAGGCUUAAAGAACAGUGUUAUUUCUUAAGUUUAUUCAAGCUGUGAAAUCAUUUGUGUCUCCUGCUAAGAUUGCUUUUAUAAUCAUCAGCAGGAAACCUGCAAGAUAACAGAACUUAAGCCAGGAAAUGAAGUUUUUAUAUAUUUUGAUCCAGCAUGUGUACUUUUGACUCCACACCAAGGUGCAUCUAAAGGGUCCUGCAUCCUCUGCAUUUCUUCAAGGAGCUCUAAAGUGCAAUCCACAAUCUUGAUCGGAUUUAAGUUGAAUUUUAUUUUUUUGCAAGAAUUUCAUAGGUAGUAGUAUGAAUGAUCUUCUGUCCAGAAGCACAUAUCUAGUUGUCCUUUAAGUCAGAUGUGGAUGCCCCAAUGCCUAGACUGAUUAGUUCAUAAGGAGUUGCAAAAUGAUAAUACUAUAAUUCCAUCAGUCUGUCAUUUAUUAGCUAGAAUACCUGUAUAAAGAGAAAAUUCCUGUCUACUAUUAGGUACUCAGUGGUAGAGGUAAAUAAAAAAAUCUUUUAAAUGUGUUGAUUACCUAAGUUUGUGGUGCUGUUAUUUUUAACACAUUAAUUUUUCAUCUUUUUUA